rnacentral:rRNA from 1 species
GACGAACGCUGGCGGCGUGCUUAACACAUGCAAGUCGAACGGAAAGGCCCCUUUGGGGGUACUCGAGUGGCGAACGGGUGCGUAACACGUGAGUAACCUGCCCUUGACUUCGGGAUAACUUCAGGAAACUGGGGCUAAUACCGGAUAGGAAUCCUUGCUGCAUGGUGGGGGUUGGAAAGCUUCGGCGGUUUUGGAUGGACUCGCGGCUUAUCAGCUUGUUGGUGGGGUAGUGGCUUACCAAGGCUUUGACGGGUAGCCGGCCUGAGAGGGCGACCGGCCACAGUGGGACUGAGAUACGGCCCAGACUCCUACGGGAGGCAGCAGUGGGGAAUAUUGCACAAUGGGCGGAAGCCUGAUGCAGCAACGCCGCGGGCGGGAUGACGGCCUUCGGGUUGUAAACCGCUUUCAGCAGGGGCGAAGCUUGUGGUGACGGUACCUGCAGAAGAAGCACCGGCUAACUACGUG